GACGAACGCUGGCGGCGCGCUUAACACAUGCAAGUCGAGCGAAGCGGCCGACGGGGAAGUAACACGUGAGUAACCUGCCUUAGACAUUGGGAUAGCCUCGGGAAACCGGGAAUAAUACCAAAUGGUCUAAGAUGGACUCGCGUCCCAUUAGCGAGUUGGUGGGGUAACGGCCCACCAAGGCGACGAUGGGUAGCCGGCCGGAGAGGGUGAACGGUCACAUUGGAACUGGGAAACGGUCCAAACUCUACGGGAGGCAGCAGUGGGUAAUAUUGCACAAUGGAGGGAACUCUGAUGCAGCGAGGCCGGGUGGACGAAGUAGGCUUUCGAGUCGUAAUGUUCUGUUAUAUGGGAAGCGGUACCAUAAGAAAAAGCCCCGGCUAACUACGUGCCAGCAGCCGCGGUAAUAC
rnacentral:rRNA from 1 species